CAGGUGCCACAGGUUUGAACUUUGCCUUUACCUCUAACAACUUCCAGAUGCUGGACUGUCCUCUCUGUUUUACAGCACAGAGGAGACCUCCUGGGAAGGGACUGCUGGGGUUCAUUCAGACCCGGGAUCCUGCUACAGGUUCAAGGUCCAUGCAUAGCCUUUCUGCUCUAUCACACUGUCUUCCAACUUCAACCAAACUGAGAACUACUUACCAGCCAGAAUUCUGAGGGAGGAACCUCUACAGUCUAAUACCAACUGUAUAACCAAUGAAAUUACACAUGGGAAAACAACAGUGGCCAAGUGGACUUGGACGAGGAUUUCUACUCCUGCACAGUCUCUUAGAAGUGCUCAGCCAUGCUGGUUGGAAGUCAGCCUGUUUCUCUGAAUUACUCAGUGAAGAGCAGCUUUCCAUUUCCCUCUCUUUAAUCUCUUCCCAAGGAUGCCUUCCCUAACAUGUUGGGCUUUGGUCAUUCUCUGAAGCACCCCAUUGCUCCCCACCAUGUGGCUGUCUGCCUCCUCUCCAUUGUCCUCUUCAGGGUAGCUGCUCUGAUUUACAGAUGCCCUGCCCUGGGAGUUUUUCUUUAAAAUGCUAAUAAAAUUGUCUUCAAGCUUC